rnacentral:rRNA from 1 species
AUUGAACGCUGGCGGCAGGCUUAACACAUGCAAGUCGAGCGGAGAUGAGGUGCUUGCACCUUAUCUUAGCGGCGGACGGGUGAGUAAUGCUUAGGAAUCUGCCUAUUAGUGGGGGACAACAUUCCGAAAGGAAUGCUAAUACCGCAUACGUCCUACGGGAGAAAGCAGGGGAUCUUCGGACCUUGCGCUAAUAGAUGAGCCUAAGUCGGAUUAGAUAGUUGGUGGGGUAAAGGCCUACCAAGGCGACGAUCUGUAGCGGGUCUGAGAGGAUGAACCGCCACACUGGGACGGAGACACGGCCCAGACUCCUACGGGAGGCAGCAGUGGGGAAUAUUGGACAAUGGGGGGAACCCUGAUCCAGCCAUGCCGCGUGUGUGAAGAAGGCCUUAUGGUUGUAAAGCACUUUAAGCGAGGAGGAGGCUACUGAGACUAAUACUCUUGGAUAGUGGACGUUACUCGCAGAAUAAGCACCAGCUAACUCUGUGCCAGCAGCCGCAGUAAAAC